CGUGUUGUAAUUUGUGAUUUAGAUUUAGGCUUGAUCACGGUGAAAGGAUUUAAGCUACUUUAGAUAUUAGUACAAAGAUUUAUCGAUGCCUAUAUGAGACUUUUAAGCUGAACUGAAUCUGUAUGGUUAUUAAUUGGGAUAGUAAGGUUAAGGAAGUAUUCGAGGAGUGUGCUAAGCUUGAAAGUAAGAAGUGGCAUUAGGCCUGGUAAUUCUAUCCUAG
rnacentral:lncRNA from 1 species